rnacentral:rRNA from 1 species
UACGUAGGGGGCUAGCGUUGUCCGGAAUCAUUGGGCGGAAAGAGCGUGUAGGCGGCCCGGUAAGUCCGCUGUGAAAGUCGGGGGCUCAACCCUCGAAUGCCGGUGGAUACUGUCGGGCUAGAGUGCGGAAGAGGCGAGUGGAAUUCCUGGUGUAGCGGUGAAAUGCGCAGAUAUCAGGAGGAACACCGAUUGCGAAGGCAGCUCGCUGGGACGUAACUGACGCUGAGACGCGAAAGCGUGGGGAGCAAACAGG